rnacentral:lncRNA from 1 species
GUCGCCUCCGCCCCUCCAUGCGAAAUGCGGCAGAGGAUCUGAUCUGAGCAGCCGGCCAACCACAUUCUCGCCGGCAACAGGCCCGCCCUAACCUGAGGGCGGCUCCAGAACUGUCCUUUUCUUCACUGGCCCUGGCGCCGCUGAUCUUCCAAAGCUUCUCUCUCAUGACACCUCUUGGAAGGUAAAGAAAGGGUUAGGAGAUGUGGGUUGGCUAGGUCACUCCUGGAGCUCGGUAGAAAAACAGAUGAUGCUUCUGUCUACCUGUAAAUUCUUAGGGAAUGUUUUCUUGACAGUUUUCCGACUUAGACCCGUAGAGAAUUGGAGAACUAUGGACCCUCUCUCUAGAAAAAUGCUCACCCACACAGAAGCAGAGUUUUGCAUGGUAUUGCAGGGCGUUUUGAAACUUCUCAAGUGUCAAGACCGCCAACUUCAGACCUCUACAGGUGCCUGCGGGAGGAUGUCUGUUUUGCAAGAGGCAAAGGACAGAGGAGAUCUUAGAUGCUUGAAAAGCACAGGAGGAUUCUGAGAAGUGUGGACAGACAGAGUUAUGAUGCUGCCAGAGGAGUAACACCAUGCCAGGCAUUACUGGGUAAGCCACAGCCUCAUGGCUGACAUAGAUUGAUAGAAAUGGAUUAAUAAUUAAGACAGUUAGCCAAUAAGAAGCCCUAGUCAUCGGUCAACAGUUUCAUAAUUAAUAUAAUUCUCUGAGUGUUCAUUUGGGGCAAGGCAGCUUCGGGAAAGAGUGCUGGUAACACUCUUGGUAAGGAGUGUUAAGGCUGUUGUUCUCUCCUAGUGUUCUUUUCACAGAAAUAUGGAGACAGCUUUGAGGUUCAGAGCUUUUUGGAACAGUUCAAUAAUGACAGUAAUGCAGUUAUGUUAGCUAUGUUGAUGGAUUUUGCCUGAAGCCAUAAAUUUAUCUGUUAUGCAAAAAGAUUUUUUAAGACAGAAUCUCUCUAUGUAACCCACCUUGAAAACACAUUGAAAUCAUCAAACAAGAUAUAAAUAUGAAGGACAGAAAUGGCAUCAGGCUUAGUAAAAACUCAGAACACAUAAGUGCCUUAAGAUGAGUGCCCUUGAGUAUCAGGCAGAGAACCCCUCUGCUAAUGAGUCUUCUAAUGCCACCUUUGCACUGGAUUGGUGUGUGUGUGUGUGUGUGUGUGUGUGUGUGUGUGUGUGUGUGUGUGUGUGUAUCUUGAGUUUCAGGAAGCAGCCAGUGGAACUAUCCUUCAUGAGUCCUCUUGUGAUUAUGGUAGUUUUUUUUCUUUAAAGAUUAAAUCAUUUUCCCCUUUCUGUUCAACAAAGACAACAGCCCUUUGGUUUUUGAUAAGUGUUUCUUUCCUUGUAGCAGGUGGGUUUGCCCCGGGCACUAAGAGCUGUGCUUUUAAAACACACAGAAGCCCAGAUGUUUGUAUCUGCUGCAUCUUUUUUCUCCCAUUUUUUGCCCUGAAGGCUGGUUUUCUCUGCUUUGCUGGCUGAUAACAUGUGGAAGAGAGAGAACAGUUCUAACUAAUAGACUAAUUAGUGAUACAAGCCUUUAAUAACUGAGUAUAGGAAAGUCAUUCCCUACCCCCAAGUGAUUAAUUUAUUUAUUGCUGUUGUGCUGCAUUAGGGUAAACUAGUCAACUUCUAGCUAUUGGCAAAUUCAAUCAAUCCCCUUUCUUCAUUUCCUUUCUUUCAUUUGCUAUACAGUGCUCAGGCAGUAUAGAAGAAUCAAUUCAGCUGACAAGCAGCUCUGGCAGAUGUGCUAGGACCUUGAUGUCACCAUUUCUCACACCAUUAGGAACUGUAGGAACUGAGAAGCAGGGCACAGCAUGGGAUAAUAACAGGUUCAGCAAUACAGCCAUAUCUAUAGCCCUCUAUUGGUGCUCCAAGAUACUCCUUCCCAGCUGUUCUGCACCCUGAGCUCUGCUGCCAUCAUGUUUCCAUCUCUCUAAGAGUCUCAGACAUGCCGGGCAUUGGUGGCACAUGCCUUUAAUCCCAGCACUCAGGAGGCAGAGGCAGGCGGAUUUCUGUGAGUUCGAGGCCAGCCUGGUCUCCAGAGCGAGUGCCAGGAUAGGCUCCAAAGCUACACAGAGAAACCCUGUCUCGAAAAAAAAAGUCUCAGACAUAUCUCUAUUUCCUCCCAUAUCUUUCUGCAAACUGUAGAUGAUUGUGUAAAGAAAUUUAGCUUUUGAAUAAAGUCUCCACUCUAGGCUAUUUUCA